rnacentral:sRNA from 1 species
GCCGGGUGCAGCGGCACAUGCCUGUAAUCCCAGUGGCUUGGGAGGCUGAGGCAGGAGAAUCCUGAGUUCAAAAUCAGACUCAGAAAAGUGAGGCACUAAACAACUCAGUGAGACCCUGUCUCUA